CCGAGCUCUUUCCAUUGCUGUGUCUCAGUAGAAUGGGAGUCCCUGCGGAAUAUCCUGUGUGAGUGGCUCUCUGAUGUUCCAGGGACGGGGAACUCACUACCUAUCCCAGAGCCCCAGGGCCUCUGGUUCUCAUCCCUUCACUGCCCUGGAAGGCAGCUUACAGAUCACCUGCUAUAGCCACACCCCUGUUUACAGAUGGUAAGACUGAGGCCCAGAGAGCAGAAGCAUCCUGCCCAAUAUUACACAGGAAGAGAUGAGGAAACUGAGGCAAAGAGAGUUUAAGUGACUUGUCCAGGACCACACAGUUAACAGUCACCUGAGAACAGAAUUUGAAUUUAAGGCUUCUUGUCUCCAAGUCCAGCCCUCUGGGAAGGGCAGACUGAGCUGCCUCCACAAGAGUCUCUACAAUCUGUUCGCAUUCUUCCUUUCUCCCCCCACUUCCUUCUCAGACACCCUGUGCUCUAUCUAGCCCAAGGGACUAGUUUUAAUGCUUUAAAAACAUAA